rnacentral:tRNA from 1 species
GUGGCUGUAGCUCAGUGGCAGAGCACUUGCCUAGCAUGUGUGAGGCACUGGGGUCGAUCCUCAGCACCACA